rnacentral:rRNA from 1 species
UGGGGAAUUUUCCGCAAUGGGGGCAACCCUGACGGAGCAACGCCGCGUGGGGGAGGAAUGUCUGUGGAUUGUAAACCUCUUUUCUUAGGGAAGAAGUUCUGACGGCACCUAAGGAAUCAGCAUCGGCUAACUCCGUGCCAGCAGCCGCGGUAAUACGGAGGAUGCAAGCGUUAUCCGGAAUUAUUGGGCGUAAAGCGUCCGCAGGUGGCUCUUCAAGUCUGCUGUCAAAGACCAGAGCUCAACUCUGGGCAGGCGGUGGAAACUGGGGAGCUAGAGUACGGUAGGGGUAGAGGGAAUUCCCAGUGUAGCGGUGAAAUGCGUAGAGAUUGGGAAGAACACCAGUGGCGAAGGCGCUCUACUGGACCGAAACUGACACUCAGGGACGAAAGCUAGGGGAGCGAAAGGGAUUAGAUACCCGCGUAGUCC